rnacentral:rRNA from 1 species
GACACUGAACAUUGAGCCUUGAUGUGUAGGAUAGGUGGGAGGCUUUGAAGCGUGGACGCCAGUCUGCGUGGAGCCGACCUUGAAAUACCACCCUUUAAUGUUUGAUGUUCUAACGUGGACCCGUAAUCCGGGUUGCGGACAGUGUCUGGUGGGUAGUUUGACUGGGGCGGUCUCCUCCUAAAGAGUAACGGAGGAGCACGAAGGUUGGCUAAUCCUGGUCGGACAUCAGGAGGUUAGUGCAAUGGCAUAAGCCAGCUUGACUGCGAGCGUGACGGCGCGAGCAGGUGCGAAAGCAGGUCAUAGUGAUCCGGUGGUUCUGAAUGGAAGGGCCAUCGCUCAACGGAUAAAAGGUACUCCGGGGAUAACAGGCUGAUACCGCCCAAGAGUUCAUAUCGACGGCGGUGUUUGGCACCUCGAUGUCGGCUCAUCACAUCCUGGGGCUGAAGUAGGUCCCAAGGGUAUGGCUGUUCGCCAUUUAAAGUGGUACGCGAGCUGGGUUUAGAACGUCGUGAGACAGUUCGGUCCCUAUCUGCCGUGGGCGCUGGAGAACUGAGGGGGGCUGCUCCUAGUACGAGAGGACCGGAGUGGACGCAUCACUGGUGUUCGGGUUGUCAUGCCAAUGGCACUGCCCGGUAGCUAAAUGCGGAAGAGAUAAGUGCUGAAAGCAUCUAAGCACGAAACUUGCCCCGAGAUGAGUUCUCCCUGAGACUUAGAGUCUCCUGAAGGAACGUUGAAGACGACGACGUUGAUAGGCCGGGUGUGUAAGCGCAGCGAUGCGUUGAGCUAACCGGUACUAAUGAACCGUGAGGCUUAACCUUAC